rnacentral:rRNA from 1 species
CCUGGCUCAGAUUGAACGCUGGCGGCAUGCCUUACACAUGCAAGUCGAACGGCAGCACGGGUGCUUGCACCUGGUGGCGAGUGGCGAACGGGUGAGUAAUAUAUCGGAACGUGCCCAGUCGUGGGGGAUAACGUAGUGAAAAUUACGCUAAUACCGCAUACGAUCUAAGGAUGAAAGCGGGGGAUCGCAAGACCUCGCGCGAUUGGAGCGGCCGAUAUCAGAUUAGGUAGUUGGUGAGGUAAAGGCUCACCAAGCCAACGAUCUGUAGCUGGUCUGAGAGGACGACCAGCCACACUGGGACUGAGACACGGCCCAGACUCCUACGGGAGGCAGCAGUGGGGAAUUUUGGACAAUGGGCGCAAGCCUGAUCCAGCAAUGCCGCGUGCAGGAAGAAGGCCUUCGGGUUGUAAACUGCUUUUGUACGGAACGAAACGGUCUGGGUUAAUACCCUGGGCUAAUGACGGUACCGUAAGAAUAAGCACCGGCUAACUACGUG